CAGCCGCCGCGGGAAAACGUAGGUGGCAAGCGCUGUCCGGAAUUAUUGGGCGUAAAGGGCUCGCAGGCGGUUUCUUAAGUCUGAUGUGAAAGCCCCCGGCUCAACCGGGGAGGGUCAUUGGAAACUGGGAAACUUGAGUGCAGAAGAGGAGAGUGGAAUUCCACGUGUAGCGGUGAAAUGCGUAGAGAUGUGGAGGAACACCAGUGGCGAAGGCGACUCUCUGGUCUGUAACUGACGCUGAGGAGCGAAAGCGUGGGGAGCGAACAGGAUUAGAUACCCCCGUAGUCCCUGUCUCUUAUAC
rnacentral:rRNA from 1 species